CUAGUGGUGCCUAUACAUGCAAGUCGAGCGGACAGAUGGGAGCUUGCUCCCUGAUGUUAGCGGCGGACGGGUGAGUAACACGUGGGUAACCUGCCUGUAAGACUGGGAUAACUCCGGGAAACCGGGGCUAAUACCGGAUGGUUGUUUGAACCGCAUGGUUCAAACAUAAAAGGUGGCUUCGGCUACCACUUACAGAUGGACCCGCGGCGCAUUAGCUAGUUGGUGAGGUAACGGCUCACCAAGGCAACGAUGCGUAGCCGACCUGAGAGGGUGAUCGGCCACACUGGGACUGAGACACGGCCCAGACUCCUACGGGAGGCAGCAGUAGGGAAUCUUCCGCAAUGGACGAAAGUCUGACGGAGCAACGCCGCGUGAGUGAUGAAGGUUUUCGGAUCGUAAAGCUCUGUUGUUAGGGAAGAACAAGUACCGUUCGAAUAGGGCGGUACCUUGACGGUACCUAACCAGAAAGCCACGGCUAACUACGUGCCAGCAGCCGCGGUAAUACGUAGGUGGCAAGCGUUGUCCGGAAUUAUUGGGCGUAAAGGGCUCGCAGGCGGUUUCUUAAGUCUGAUGUGAAAGCCCCCGGCUCAACCGGGGAGGGUCAUUGGAAACUGGGGAACUUGAGUGCAGAAGAGGAGAGUGGAAUUCCACGUGUAGCGGUGAAAUGCGUAGAGAUGUGGAGGAACACCAGUGGCGAAGGCGACUCUCUGGUCUGUAACUGACGCUGAGGAGCGAAAGCGUGGGGAGCGAACAGGAUUAAAUACCCCUGGUAGUCCACGCCGUAAACGAUGAGUGCUAAGUGUUAGGGGGGUUUCCGCCCCUUAGUGCUGCAGCUAACGCAUUUAAGCACUCCGGCCUGGGUGAGUACGGUCGCAAGG
rnacentral:rRNA from 1 species